AGAGUUUGAUCCUGGCUCAGGACGAACGCUGGCGGCGUGCUUAACACAUGCAAGUCGAACGGAAAGGCCUCAGCUUGCUGGGGUACUCGAGUGGCGAACGGGUGAGUAACACGUGGGUGAUCUGCCUUGCACUCUGGGAUAAGCUUGGGAAACUGGGUCUAAUACCGGAUAUGAACUGCCUUUAGUGUGGUGGUUGGAAAGUUUUUUCGGUGCAAGAUGAGCUCGCGGCCUAUCAGCUUGUUGGUGGGGUAAUGGCCUACCAAGGCGUCGACGGGUAGCCGGCCUGAGAGGGUGUACGGCCACAUUGGGACUGAGAUACGGCCCAGACUCCUACGGGAGGCAGCAGUGGGGAAUAUUGCACAAUGGGCGGAAGCCUGAUGCAGCGACGCCGCGUGGGGGAUGACGGCCUUCGGGUUGUAAACUCCUUUCGACAGGGACGAAGCGUUAUGUGACGGUACCUGUAUAAGAAGCACCGGCUAACUACGUGCCAGCAGCCGCGGUAAUACGUAGGGUGCGAGCGUUGUCCGGAAUUACUGGGCGUAAAGAGCUCGUAGGUGGUUUGUCGCGUCGUCUGUGAAAUUCCGGGGCUUAACUUCGGGCGUGCAGGCGAUACGGGCAUAACUUGAGUGCUGUAGGGGAGACUGGAAUUCCUGGUGUAGCGGUGAAAUGCGCAGAUAUCAGGAGGAACACCGAUGGCGAAGGCAGGUCUCUGGGCAGUUACUGACGCUGAGGAGCGAAAGCAUGGGUAGCAAACAGGAUUAGAUACCCUGGUAGUCCAUGCCGUAAACGGUGGGCGCUAGGUGUAGGGGGCUUCCACGUCUUCUGUGCCGUAGCUAACGCAUUAAGCGCCCCGCCUGGGGAGUACGGCCGCAAGGCUAAAACUCAAAGGAAUUGACGGGGGCCCGCUGGGGUUGCCCGCAAAUCGUGGACACGUAGUGGAGCUACCUAGUGGUUAGGCAGCUAUUUCUUUUCUGCUGUUGAUUGCGCCGGCGUGGUUCUCGAAGUCGACGGGGCUGACCAUUCCGAGUGCAGAGUGCCGGCGCCGACGGUUGUAGACGACUUCAAUCCAGUAGGCAACAGCCUUGCGUGCAGCAUCACGGCUCGCCCAGCGCUUACGGUCGUAGAAUUCAGUCUUUAGCGUCGACCAGAACGACUCAGCCAUCGCGUUAUCGAAGCACACACCAGUACGCCCCACAGACUGAGCAAUGCCCAGUCUGCUGCAGACCUCCCAGAGCUUCUCACUGGUAAAUUGCGUUCCGCGGUCAGCGU
rnacentral:rRNA from 1 species